CAAAAUAGAGCUAAUCAGAUAGCAACUCAUUUACACUGAGUAGGAAUUAGUGCAAGUCUAAUUAUUUUGA
rnacentral:tRNA from 1 species